rnacentral:rRNA from 1 species
AUGGACAUGGAGCUCCCACAACACACCAUGGAAGGCCUGGAGCUCCUUCUCACAGCAGGUGCACCGCGUACAGGAGGGAAGACCAACGCUCCUCCGGGUCUGCUUCUUCCCGGGUCGCCGUUGCUCCACGGAAGGCGGAAAGUCAUAGAAGAUGGUUCAUUAGCUUCAAACAGAUCAGUGGUUACUGAAUCAGUCUCAAAAUCUUGUUCCUCCGCAGAAGUGAAAGAUGAAGAUGCUGCAAUUGCAGUUGUGAUUGAUGCAGCUGAACUUAAAUGGGGAGAGCAGUCAUUUAGGAGAGGACAAGCUCCUGGAAGGUUUACAUCAGGACGCCAUAAUGGCCAUGGAUCAUCAGAAAGGGAGGCACCUCCACCCGGCUAUGUGUGCCGCAGCUGCGGAGUUCCAGGCCAUUUCAUUCAACAUUGCCCACAGGAAAACCAGAUGCCUCCACCUAGCUAUACCUGCUACAGAUGCCGGGUUCCAGGGCAUUUUAUUCAGCAUUGCCCAACCAUUGGCGGUUCCAAGACUCUGAACAUGAGGACCAUGUGGACUAAACUUGCAUGUGGGUGCACCAAGGAGAAGGUCCCACUUAUCAAGGGAUAA